ACUGAACGCUGGCGGCAUGCCUUACACGUGCAAGUCGAACGGCAGCGGACCUUCGGGUGCCGGCGAGUGGCGAACGGGUGAGUAAUGUAUCGGAACGUACCUUUCAGUGGGGGAUAACGUAGCGAAAGUUACGCUAAUACCGCAUAUUCUGUGAGCAGGAAAGCAGGGGAUCGCAAGACCUUGCGCUGAUUGAGCGGCCGAUAUCAGAUUAGCUAGUUGGUGAGGUAAAGGCUCACCAAGGCGACGAUCUGUAGCGGGUCUGAGAGGAUGAUCCGCCACACUGGAACUGAGACACGGUCCAGACUCCUACGGGAGGCAGCAGUGGGGAAUUUUGGACAAUGGGGGCAACCCUGAUCCAGCCAUGCCGCGUGAGUGAAGAAGGCCUUCGGGUUGUAAAGCUCUUUCGUCCGGGAAGAAAUCGCAUCAGCUAAUACCUGGUGUGGAUGACGGUACCGGAAUAAGAAGCACCGGCCAACUACGUGCCAGCAGCCGCCGUAACAC
rnacentral:rRNA from 1 species